rnacentral:lncRNA from 1 species
AGACAACAGAAAGGUCAAGAAGAAUAAGUUGAUGAAUUGCCUGAAGGAUCUUAAAGGAGUAAAGGUUGAUAUCCAUGAACUGAAAAAUGUCCUGAGGAACCUGGGGAUGGAUCUUACAGAUCAGCAGUUUCAGUUGCUGCUAACAGUUAUCCCACUUGAUUAUGAUGGGAAAGUGGAUCUAAACAAAUUGAUAGAAUUUUCAAAGGCC